AACACGUAAAAAAAAAAACACUUUGCCCACGAUAGCCGAUGGAGAGUUCGCGUACUCGGACCCAACUGAAUCGUUAACUGCGAUUCCGGUGAUUAUGUCUGGUAACCUUCAUCAACGUGUCUUCGUGUUCGACGGAGUCUGUCAUCUUUGCCAUGGAGGAUGACUUCGCUGAGGUUACAUAGUAUGAGAAGAAGAAGCCUAAGUCACAGAAGCAAACUAUUGCUAAGAAAGGUUAUCACUGUUAGAGUUGAAUCCUUUGAUCAUUGGCUGCUGCUAAAGCUUGAGAUUAAUGUGUGUGGAGGACUUGUGAUACAUGCCGCCAUUUGAUGCAUCCAUGGAAAAGAAGUCAUCAUUGGUGAAAAUAGAGAAGGAUGGUUUGUUUUUUGAGAAGUCAUCAUUGGUUCUCAUUGGCAACAUAUUGGUUUUGCUGGUUCUCAUUAGCGUUACUCAUGUUGCAUCUAAGCUUAACACACAUCAACCAUCAUUAUUCACAAACGAUAUAAUAACUAUGUUGACUGAAUAAUAAACAAGUAAACAAUAAAUAAUAAACAUGUACCACAAAUAAUUUAUGAAAAUUGUGUACCACGAAUAAGUUA